rnacentral:rRNA from 1 species
GACGAACGCUGGCGGCGUGCUUAACACAUGCAAGUCGAACGGAAAGGCCCUGCUUUUGUGGGGUGCUCGAGUGGCGAACGGGUGAGUAACACGUGAGUAACCUGCCCUUGACUUUGGGAUAACUUCAGGAAACUGGGGCUAAUACCGGAUAGGAGCUCCUGCUGCAUGGUGGGGGUUGGAAAGUUUCGGCGGUUGGGGAUGGACUCGCGGCUUAUCAGCUUGUUGGUGGGGUAGUGGCUUACCAAGGCUUUGACGGGUAGCCGGCCUGAGAGGGUGACCGGCCACUGGGACUGAGAUACGGCCCAGACUCCUACGGGAGGCAGCAGUGGGGAAUAUUGCACAAUGGGCGGAAGCCUGAUGCAGCAACGCCGCGUGCGGGAUGACGGCCUUCGGGUUGUAAACCGCUUUCGCCUGUGACGAAGCGUGAGUGACGGUAAUGGGUAAAGAAGCACCGGCUAACUACGUGCCAGCAGCCGCGGUGAUACGUAGGGUGCGAGCGUUGUCCGGAUCUAUUGGGCGUAAAGGGCUCGUAGGUGGUUGAUCGCGUCGGAAGUGUAAUCUUGGGGCUUAACCCUGAGCGUGCUUUCGAUACGGGUUGACUUGAGGAAGGUAGGGGAGAAUGGAAUUCCUGGUGGAGCGGUGGAAUGCGCAGAUAUCAGGAGGAACACCAGUGGCGAAGGCGGUUCUCUGGGCCUUUCCUGACGCUGAGGAGCGAAAGCGUGGGGAGCGAACAGGCUUAGAUACCCUGGUAGUCCACGCUGUAAACGGUGGGUACUAGGUGUGGGGUCCAUUCCACGGGUUCCGUGCCGUAGCUAACGCUUUAAGUACCCCGCCUGGGGAGUACGGCCGCAAGGCUAAAACCCAAAGGAAUUGACGGGGCCCCGCACAAGCGGCGGAGCAUGCGGAUUAAUUCGAUGCAACGCGUAGAACCUUACCUGGGUUUGACAUGGAUCGGGAGUGCUCAGAGAUGGGUGUGCCUCUUUUGGGGUCGGUUCACAGGUGGUGCAUGGCUGUCGUCAGCUCGUGUCGUGAGAUGUUGGGUUAAGUCCCGCAACGAGCGCAACCCUUGUUCACUGUUGCCAGCACGUUAUGGUGGGGACUCAGUGGAGACCGCCGGGGUCAACUCGGAGGAAGGUGGGGAUGACGUCAAGUCAUCAUGCCCCUUAUGUCCAGGGCUUCACGCAUGCUACAAUGGCUGGUACAGAGAGUGGCGAGCCUGUGAGGGUGAGCGAAUCUCGGAAAGCCGGUCUCAGUUCGGAUUGGGGUCUGCAACUCGACCUCAUGAAGUCGGAGUCGCUAGUAAUCGCAGAUCAGCAACGCUGCGGUGAAUACGUUCCCGGG